rnacentral:lncRNA from 1 species
GAUCUCUCUUAUUAGUUAUCGUAACAUAUAUUACCCUCGGUUAGUGUUUCAGAUUCAGUAUCUAAGACUAAUUUCAUAUAUAUAUUAAUGGGAAUCAGUUGUUCAUAUUUUUUUAUUCAAUAAAUGAAUGGGAAUCUUAGUAAAAAAAUUACUAUUAUAUUGUGUUGGUGUAAAUUUUCUGCUAGAUCCAGAAUUGACUCUGGAUAUACUCAGGUAUUCAUAACUAGAAAAGAUAAAAAAAGAAUAUCUAUAUAUAUAGUUUAGUUACAUAUUGAUGUAGGACAAGGAUGG